rnacentral:rRNA from 1 species
GAUGAACGCUGGCGGCGUGCCUAAUACAUGCAAGUCGAGCGAACAGACGAGGCGCUUGCUCCUUUGACGUUAGCGGCGGACGGGUGAGUAACACGUGGAUAACCUACCUAUAAGACUGGGAUAACUUCGGGAAACCGGAGCUAAUACCGGAUAACAUGUUGAACCGCAUGGUUCAACAGUGCAAGACGGUCUUGCUGUCCCUUAUAGAUGGAUCCGCGCCGCAUUAGCUAGUUGGUAAGGUAACGGCUUACCAAGGCAACGAUGCGUAGCCGACCUGAGAGGGGGAUCGGCCACACUGGAACUGAGACACGGUCCAGACUCCUACGGGAGGCAGCAGUAGGGAAUCUGCCGCAAUGGGCGAAAGCCUGACGGAGCAACGCCGCGUGAGUGAAGAAGGUCUUCGGAUCGUAAAACUCUGUUAUUAGGGAAGAACAAAUGUGUAAGUAACUAUGCACGUCUUGACGGUACAUAAGCAGAAAACCACGGCUAACUACGU